UACGAAGGACCCGAGCGUUAUCCGGAUUCAUUGGGUUUAAAGGGUGCGUAGGCGGAUUGAUAAGUCAGUGGUGAAAUCCUGCAGCUUAACUGCAGAACUGCCAUUGAUACUGUCGAUCUUGAGUACAUUUGAAGUGGGCGGAAUGUGUCAUGUAGCGGUGAAAUGCUUAGAUAUGACACAGAACACCGAUUGCGAAGGCAGCUCACUAAACUGUAACUGACGCUGAGGCACGAAAGCGUGGGGAUCAAACAGG
rnacentral:rRNA from 1 species